rnacentral:rRNA from 1 species
AACGAACGCUGGCGGCAGGCUUAACACAUGCAAGUCGAACGGAUGUAGCAAUACAUUAGUGGCGCACGGGUGCCUAACGCGUGGGAACAUACCCUUGAGUAAGGAAUAAUGUCUGGAAACGGACACUAAUACCUUAUAAUGACUUCGGUCCAAAGAUUCAUCGCUCAAGGAUUGGCCCGCGUCUGAUUAGCUAGUUGGUGAGGUAACGGCUCACCAAGGCGACGAUCAGUAGCUGGUCUGAGAGGAUGAUCAGCCACACUGGGACUGAGACACGGCCCAGACUCCUACGGGAGGCAGCUGUAAGGAAUAUUGGACAAUGGGGGAAACCCUGAUCCAGCCAUGCCGCGUGAGUGAAGAAGGCCUUAGGGUUGUAAAGCUCUUUCAAUAGUGAAGAUAAUGACGGUAGCUAUAGAAGAAGCCCCGGCUAAAUUCGUGCCAGCAGCCGCGGUAA